rnacentral:lncRNA from 1 species
GGGGAGGCAGGCAACACCAGCCCUCAGGCUACACUCUCCAUUUGGAGCAGAGCUUCUUCGGCAGCCCCAGGUCUCCCGGGAUCUUCCUCGGUGUCCUGCGGAGGCUCUGGCUCCAGCGUGGGCUCCAGCGCAGGCUGGGCUUCCGGCUGGGCUUCAGCGCUCCGGCCAGGCCCAAGGCGAGGCGGCUUGACCGGGGUGGGCGGUGGCGCUGCAGGGCCUUUCCGGCCCGAAAGGGCCCUUCGGAGGCUCUGUACCUUCUGCAAUCCGGUGCGCCGCAGCCGCUGGGCCCUGGACUCCACCGGCUCCUCGUCCGAGCUCUCUCCAACUUCGGCCUCCAGCUGCUCUGGGCCCAGCUCGGACUGGUCCGCCGGGCCCAAGGGCUCUGGUGCCUUCUGGAAAGCGCUGGCUGGGACUUCACCCUCCUCCUGCAUGUGACGGACACAGCACUGAUCCUGGCAGCUCCUUACCCCCAGCAGCCCGAAACUCACUCCUUAAUUACACAAGGGAAACCUUUUACCUCCGCAGCCAGAGUCUGGGGGGAAAGGCAGGCGUGGGAAGAUGGGUUCUCUACCUGGCCAGUGCCAUGUUGCCUGUUUCUUUACUGUAACUGUGGUGACAAAGAAAAGGGAAGAUGGAGCCUCCAUGUUGAACAUACCUGGCCCCCAGCACUAACUCCCUCUCUGGAUAUCUGGAACAAGGAGGACCUUAAACUUAACAAUAAAGCCAAUGAUGGUUCUACCAGUCUCCCCAAAGCCUCAAGUUUAAAAGCCAUAUGAACUGGCUGAUAGUGGAAAAUGGAAGCCAUGAGGAAAUCAGAUUAGAGUACUACCUGGUGAAGCCUGGAGGACCUACCAAGAAAAGCAAACUUGGAUCUUUGCAAGGUUAGAAGAACGAAUGGGAUCCAAGAAAAAGACUGGUCAUAUUCAACGGCUAAGAGCGUUGGAGAAGGCCUGUGGAGUCUCAGCAGGUCAGGUCCAUGACUCAUGAGUAGACACCUGUGUUUCUACUGCCUGGUGCCAUAAUCAUAAACAAGGUGAGCAGGGGCAAAUAAGAUCCUAGUUCAGUACUAUUCACUAUAAAUAUAAUGUAUGUAAUUUAAAAUUUUCUAGUAGCCAUAUUUUAAAAUUUUUUUAAUGAAAUUAACUUUUAAAAGAUAUUUAGUUUAACUCAAUAUAUCCAAAAUAUUGCCAUUUUAACAUGUAAUCAUAUUUGUUAGGUAUUAAUUAGAUAUUUUACAUUCUUUUAGGUCUCUGAAAUCUGGUAUAUAUUUUAUAUUUAUAGAACAUCUCAAUUUGCAUAUUAAAUGUUCAUUAGAAAUGAUGGCUCUAUGUUUAGACUUUGAUAAAAGAAAAACUUCAGCCAAA